GAUGAACGCUGGCGGCGUGCCUAAUACAUGCAAGUCGAGCGAACAGAUAAGGAGCUUGCUCCUUUGACGUUAGCGGCGGACGGGUGAGUUACACGUGGAUAACCUACCUAUAAGACUGGGAUAACUUCGGGAAACCGGAGCUAAUACCGGAUAACAUAUUGAACCGCAUGGUUCAAUAGUGAAAGGCGGCUUUGCUGUCACUUAUAGAUGGAUCCGCGCCGUAUUAGCUAGUUGGUAAGGUAACGGCUUACCAAGGCAACGAUACGUAGCCGACCUGAGAGGGUGAUCGGCCACACUGGAACUGAGACACGGUCCAGACUCCUACGGGAGGCAGCAGUCGGGAAUCUUCCGCAAUGGGCGAAAGCCUGACGGAGCACCGCCGCGUGAGUGAUGAAGGUCUUCGGAUCGUAAAACUCUGUUAUCAGGGAAGAACAAAUGUGUAAGUAACUGUGCACAUCUUGACGGUACCUGAUCAGAAAGCCACGGCUAACUACGUG
rnacentral:rRNA from 1 species